rnacentral:rRNA from 1 species
UGGGGAAUUUUGGACAAUGGGCGAAAGCCUGAUCCAGCAAUGCCGCGUGUGUGAAGAAGGCCUUCGGGUUGUAAAGCACUUUUGUCCGGAAAGAAAUCCUUGGCUCUAAUACAGUCGGGGGAUGACGGUACCGGAAGAAUAAGCACCGGCUAACUACGUGCCAGCAGCCGCGGUAAUACGUAGGGUGCAAGCGUUAAUCGGAAUUACUGGGCGUAAAGCGUGCGCAGGCGGUUUGCUAAGACCGAUGUGAAAUCCCCGGGCUCAACCUGGGAACUGCAUUGGUGACUGGCAGGCUAGAGUAUGGCAGAGGGGGGUAGAAUUCCACGUGUAGCAGUGAAAUGUGUAGAGAUGUGGAGGAAUACCGAUGGCGAAGGCAGCCCCCUGGGCCAAUACUGACGCUCAUGCACGAAAGCGUGGGGAGCAAAACAGGAUUAGAUACCCUGGUAGUCCACGCCCUAAAACGAUGUCAACUAGUUGUUGGGGAUUCAUUUCCUUAGUAACGUAGCUAACGCGUGAAGUUGACCGCCUGGGGAGUACGGUCGCAAGAUUAAAACUCAAAGGAAUUGACGGGGUCAUAGCUGUUUCCU